rnacentral:rRNA from 1 species
CGGAUUUAUUGGGUUUAAAGGGUGCGUAGGCGGUGGAUUAAGUCAGUGGUGAAAGACGAUCGCUCAACGAUUGCAGUGCCAUUGAUACUGGUUCACUUGAGUAGUGCAGAGGUGGCCGGAAUUGAUCGUGUAGCGGUGAAAUGCAUAGAUAUGAUCAAGAACGCCGAUUGCGAAGGCAAGUCACACGACACGCAAGAACACUGACGCACGAAAGCGUAACGAGCAAACAACAUAACAUACACAGGAAGACAACAGCGGGAAACUGAUGAUAACACGCCGUAGGACCCUGAGGUCAGCGGCAUAGGGAAAAAGUGAAAGAAGCAACCUGGGGAG